rnacentral:piRNA from 3 species
GUUCAGACAUUUGGUGUAUGUGCUUGGCUG